rfam:Felis catus isolate Cinnamon breed Abyssinian chromosome X, whole genome shotgun sequence.
UAUUUAGGAUAAAUAUGUUCCAUGUAACAUUUAGGACAUACUUAUACUAAAA